UGGGGGAUAUUGCACAAUGGGCGAAAGCCUGAUGCAGCGACGCCGCGUGGGGGAUGAAGGCCUUCGGGUUGUAAACUUCUUUUGCUCUGAACAAGGCGCACCAUGGGGUGUGUUGAGUGUAGGGGUUGAUUAGCGCCGGCUAACUACGUGCCAGCAGCCGCGGUAACACGUAGGGCGCGAGCGUUGUCCGGUAUUAUUGGGCGUAAAGGGCUUGUAGGUGGCUGGUUGCGUCUGUCGUGAAAGCUCAUGGCUUAACUGUGGGUUUGCGGUGGGUACGGGCUGGCUUGAGUGCAGUAGGGGAGGCUGGAAUUCCUGGUGUAGCGGUGGAAUGCGCAGAUAUCAGGAGGAAUACCGGUGGCGAAGGCGGGUCUCUGGGCUGUUACUGACACUGAGGAGCGAAAGCAUGGGGAGCGAACAGG
rnacentral:rRNA from 1 species